UACGAAGGGGGCUAGCGUUGCUCGGAAUCACUGGGCGUAAAGGGUGCGUAGGCGGGUUUUAAGUCAGGGGUGAAAUCCUGGAGCUCAACUCCAGAACUGCCUUUGAUACUGAAGAUCUUGAGUCCGGGAGAGGUGAGUGGAACUGCGAGUGUAGAGGUGAAAUUCGUAGAUAUUCGCAAGAACACCAGUGGCGAAGGCGGCUCACUGGCCCGGUACUGACGCUGAGACGCGAAAGCGUGGGGAGCAAACAGG
rnacentral:rRNA from 1 species